rnacentral:rRNA from 1 species
GAGUAACGCGUGAGUAACCUGCCCUGGAGUGGGGGACAACAGCUGGAAACGACUGCUAAUACCGCAUAAGCCCACGGAUCCGCAUGGAUCUGCGGGAAAAGGAUUUAUUCGCUUCAGGAUGGACUCGCGUCCAAUUAGCUAGUUGGUGAGGUAACGGCCCACCAAGGCGACGAUUGGUAGCCGGACUGAGAGGUUGAACGGCCACAUUGGGACUGAGACACGGCCCAGACUCCUACGGGAGGCAGCAGUGGGGGAUAUUGCACAAUGGGGGAAACCCUGAUGCAGCGACGCCGCGUGGAGGAAGAAGGUUUUCGGAUUGUAAACUCCUGUCGUUAGGGACGAUAAUGACGGUACCUAACAAGAAAGCACCGGCUAACUACGUGCCAGCAGCCGCGGUAAAACGUAGGGUGCAAGCGUUGUCCGGAAUUACUGGGUGUAAAGGGAGCGCAGGCGGACCGGCAAGUUGGAAGUGAAAACUAUGGGCUUAACCCAUAAAUUGCUUUCAAAACUGCUGGCCUUGAGUAGUGCAGAGGUAGGUGGAAUUCCC